GCCCGUCUAGCUCAAUCGGAUAGCAGCGUCAGACUUUUAAAUUGGGCUAAAAUUCUGAAUUAAAAUCUGAAGGUUGCGGGUUCGACCCCCGCGGUGGGCU